GGUGGGAUUGGGAUUGACGUAUAAGAUCGAGCAUGGGUUUCAUGACGGGUUCGAUUAAGUCAGGUUUGAAGGAACCGGAGGAAGUUGGGUAAGAAGAAGCGAGGGCGGAGAAAGCAAGGGGGGUGGAGACUUUAAUGUUGGUAUGGAGGUUGAACUUUUGAAGCGAGGCGUAAACGUUUUUCAUAGCGGGGACGAGGAAAUUGGUAGUAUUGUUGGGGUCGACGAAGACUUCAUUGCCAACGGCGAUGGCAUCGAUUUUGGUGGAGGGGUAGAAAUGGGAUAUGUUGGAUUGUACCCAAUUGUCGGUGAAGGAAGGAUCGGAGGCGGCGGAGGAGAGGUAUUCGUUGGGGAGGGAGACGACAACGGAGAUGUUAGAGUUAGAUAAAGCGGUAAGGACGGUAGACUCAGUAUCGAA
rnacentral:lncRNA from 1 species